UUGAAUUUUAAACUUGGGAUGUUGCUGACUCUACCCAGGGUAAUGUGCACUCCCUUGAUAUUCAAAUCCACCUGUGCACAAUCGAGUAGGCAUAGAUUGGGUUCUGUGCCUAUGUUUUUACACACUCUCUAUGUUUGUAAAAGAUGGCUUUUUAUAAUAUAA
rnacentral:misc_RNA from 1 species